GCCAGGCAAGGUGGCACUUGCCAGUAAUCCCAGCCACUCAGGAGGCUGAGAUGGGAGAAUCUCUUGAACCCAGGACUUCUGAGCUAUCAUGUGUUUGCUGUCAACAUGGUGACCUCCCGAGAGCAGGGGACCACCAGGUUGCCUAAGGAGGGGUGAACUAGCCCAGGUCAGAAACAGCAGGUCAAAACUCCUGUGCUGAUCAGUAAUGAGAUCAUGUCUGUGAAUAACCACUGCACUCUCACCUAGACAACAUAAAGGAAACCCUAUCUAU
rnacentral:SRP_RNA from 1 species